rnacentral:misc_RNA from 1 species
GAUGAAGAACGUAGCGAAAUGCGAUAAGUAAUGUGAAUUGCAGAAUUCAGUGAAUCAUCGAGUCUUUGAACGCACAUUGCGCCCCCUGGUAUUCCGGGGGGCAUGCCUGUCCGAGCGUCAUUGCUGCCCUCAAGCACGGCUGUGUGUUGGGCCCCCGUCCCCGGUUUCCCCCGGGGACGGGCCCGAAAGGCAGCGGCGGCACCGCGUCCGGUCCUCGAGCGUAUGGGGCUUUGUCACCCGCUCUGUAGGCCCGGCCGGCGCCAGCCGACACCCAACUUUAUUUCUAAGGUUGACCUCGGAUCAGGUAGGGAUACCCGCUGAACUUAAGCAUAUCAAUAAGCGGAGGA